UACGAAGGGGGCUAGCGUUGUUCGGAAUUACUGGGCGUAAAGCGCACGUAGGCGGUUACUUAAGUCAGGGGUGAAAUCCCGGGGCUCAACCCCGGAACUGCCUUUGAUACUGGGUAUCUCGAGUCCGGAAGAGGUGAGUGGAAUUCCGAGUGUAGAGGUGAAAUUCGUAGAUAUUCGGAGGAACACCAGUGGCGAAGGCGGCUCACUGGUCCGAUACUGACGCUGAGGUGCGAAAGCGUGGGGAGCAAACAGG
rnacentral:rRNA from 1 species